UACAGAGGCCUCGAGCGUUGUUCGGAAUUACUGGGCGUAAAGGGAAUGUAGGUGGUCAUGUAAGUCAGAUGUGAAAGCCCUAGGCUUAACCUGGGAAGUGCAUUUGAUACUGCGUGGCUGGAGUGCGAGAGAGGAAAGCGGAAUCCGUGGUGUAGGAGUGAAAUCCGUAGAUAUCAGGAGGAAUACCGAUGGCGAAGGCAGCUUUCUGGCUCGUAACUGACACUGGAGAUUCGAAAGCUUGGGUAGCAAACAGG
rnacentral:rRNA from 1 species